UCGGGCGUGGUGUACGGUACACUCUGGCUUUCUAUUAUUCAUUAGUUGGUGGAUGUAGCCAGCAUCCGGGGUUAGACUCUCCGCGUCCGAA